AUCGUUUAUCGCGAACCGCUAUGUGAUUUAAAAUUUAGCAGUUCGCGAUAAGCGGCCG
rnacentral:pre_miRNA from 1 species